AAGGCUUUAGCUUAAUUAAAGUACCUGUUUUGCAUGCAGGAGAUGUGAGAUAAUAGCUCGCAAGUCUUG
rnacentral:tRNA from 1 species